rnacentral:rRNA from 1 species
CGUUUUAACCUCCGGGCACCAAUUAACCCGGAAGUGGCGGCGUGCUUCGGGGUAGAGGGAAGCGAGCUGCGGCGGGAGGAGAGGAAGUAAAGCUGAAGACGGAGGGGGGAGAGGGUGAGAGGCAGCACUAUGGAGGGGUUAGGAUUAGCGCGAGCCCGCCGCCGUCGACACUUCACGGGGGGAAGGUCCAACACCAGCCUCAGCACGUCGACCUACGUCGUGUGACCUCGUCACCUCGAACUCAAACGCUGGUGUCGCCUUGUUGAGACCGUAACUGACGGCUAACCACUAAAGAAAGGGAAGAUCAUGGAAACGGAGAGAAAUAUGUAAUACAUCUAUAAUACCUUCGAUUUAACGAUAAAACACACAACUCGGUUUUAGGGGUCUAAUUAGACGCAGAUGGAUCUAAGAUAUGAACAAUCAUCAUGUUUUAUAUAAUCAAUGUUCCUUUAAUCUAGAUAACUAGGUUGAUAGGUGAAAUUUAUAUUAUAAAAACUCCAAAUUGAGUCUAGGGCUAAGUCAUUAAUGAACAUACUUUCAUGAGGUUUAAUAAAAUGAACGGAAUUUGGCAAAGUAAUAAAGAAGUCCGGUACUAGUGAUGUCCAAAGUAUAAGGAUACAUGUACAGGGUCAAAUUUCACAGGAAUAGAAAGUGAGACAGUGGAGGAUAUUCUAUACAAACCACGGAAGUUUUAAAUAACAGGGUAAAUGAAAACGUCCUAAAGUUGUUGGACAAGAACCAAUCCUAAACAUAGGUAGUCUGGUAAAUGAAGAGUACGAUACGGUAAACUUUGGGGAAGUUAGGUUUAAUUUAAGGAUAUAUACGAGUAAUGAAACAACUAAGGUAAAAAUAUGAAACACUAGGGAAAGUGAAGAAAAAUUCCACCCGAUAUCGUGGAAAAGAGUAUUAAUUUUUAUGUUGUUAUCUCUAAAAGAAAUAGUAUUUAAAAACACUUAGUAGAACAAGAAUAUACAAUCAAAUAAAAGGUAAAAAGACUGCUCCGUUUUAAACUUUACAACAAAUGAAGUCUUUACGGAACAGUACCACAUAGUAUAACGUAGCGAACCGGUCUAGAGGUCGUUUGAGGAUGUUGGCCUGUGGUAGGUAAUACACUUCCGGCUAGUCGUUGGCCACGACUUCGAGACUUUCCGACUUAUUAAUGUUUUUUCCUAAAAACUUAGUUAUCGGAACUCAUGUUGUUAGAUCCUAGGAAAGUGUACUUAUAUAGGAUUAUAAGUCCGAAACGUCGUGUACGGAGAGAGGUUUAGUGUUGUACAAAUUCUCAGUACACGUGUAAAAUACGUCGGAAGAUUACAAAAGUAAACUACCAUUGACGAUUUAUGAUGUUUGAUACCUCUUAGGAGGAGAAGCGUAACAUUGGCUUUUCGCUAGAUAGCUGAUAUUAUAGUUGAUGUUCACAAUAACCUACCUCUUCAACGAGCAUGAAACUUGCCCACUAGAUCUCCGUCCGAAUACCUCUAUAAAUCAUACAGUAGUAUAUAUAUUCGACUUUGUUUUCUCAAGUUAACUACCCGUAAAAGUUAAUAAGAAUAACACUUGUUUUGCAUAAAAGA